rnacentral:rRNA from 1 species
GUCGAGAAUCUUCCACAAUGGGCGAAAGCCUGAUGGAGCGACACCGCGUGCAGGAUGAAGGCCUUCGGGUUGUAAACUGCUGUCACGCUAUAGGAACCAGCUUGGGUGAACAGUCCAAGCCUUGACUAAAGCGAAAGGAAGCGCCGGCUAACUCUGUGCCAGCAGCCGCGGUAAUACAGAGGGCGCAAGCGUUGUUCGGAUUCACUGGGCAUAAAGAGCACGUAGGCGGCUACGUAAGUCGGAUGUGAAAUCCCCCGGCUCAACCGGGGAAUGGCAUCCGAUACUGCGUGGCUCGAGGUUGGGAGGGGUGAGCGGAACUCCAGGUGGAACGGUGAAAUGUGUAGAUAUCUGGAGGAACACCGGUGGCGAAGGCGGCUCACUGGCCCGAAUCUGACGCUGAGGUGCGAAAGCUAGGGGAGCGAACGGGAUUAGAAACCCGUGUAGUCC